rnacentral:rRNA from 1 species
AAUUAGUUUUUUAAUUGAAAAAUGGAAUGAAGGAUUUCAUUAAAUUAAGUCUUAUUUAUUUUAUAUAUUUAAACUUUUGUAUUUAGUUAAAAUACUAAAAUAGUUUUAUUAGACAAAAAGACCCUAUGAAGCUGUAAAUUAAGAAAUAAUUAGUAUUUUUAAGAUAUUUAUUUUUUGGGGUAAAGUAUAAUAUUUUUAUUCAGAUAAAUGUCUUAUUAAUUUAAUCCUCUUGGAAUUGUGAUGAAGCUCCUCUAGGGAUAACAGCAUAAUAUUUAUAAAAGUUCAUAUUUAACUAAAUGU